AACGAACGCUGGCGGCAUGCCUAACACAUGCAAGUCGAACGAGACCUUCGGGUAUAGUGGCGCACGGGUGCGUAACGCGUGGGAACCUGCCCUUAGGUUCGGAAUAACUCCCCGAAAGGGGUGCUAAUACCGGCUAAUGUCUCCGGACCAAAGAUUUAUCGCCUUUGGAUGGGCCCGCGUUGGAUUAGCUAGUUGGUAGGGUAAAAGCCUACCAAGGCGACGAUCCAUAGCUGGUCUGAGAGGAUGAUCAGCCACACUGGGACUGAGACACGGCCCAGACUCCUACGGGAGGCAGCAGUGGGGAAUAUUGGAAAAUGGGCGAAAGCCUGAUCCAGCAAUGCCGCGUGAGUGAUGAAGGCCUUAGGGUUGUAAAGCUCUUUUACCCGGGAUGAUAAUGACAGUACCGGGAGAAUAAGCUCCGGCUAACUCCGUG
rnacentral:rRNA from 1 species